AGAGUAUAGCUCAUUGGUAGAGUGCAUGCUUAGCAUGCACGAGAUCCUCCUGGGUUCAAUCCCCAGUACCUCUA
rnacentral:tRNA from 1 species